rnacentral:rRNA from 1 species
UAGGGAAUCUUCCGCAAUGGACGCAAGUCUGACGGAGCAACGCCGCGUGAGUGAAGAAGGAUUUCGGUUCGUAAAACUCUGUUGUUAGAGAAGAACAGCGCAUAGAGUAACUGUUAUGCGUGUGACGGUAUCUAACCAGAAAGCCACGGCUAACUACGUGCCAGCAGCCGCGGUAAUACGUAGGUGGCAAGCGUUGUCCGGAUUUAUUGGGCGUAAAGCGAGCGCAGGCGGUCAAUUAAGUCUGAUGUGAAAGCCCCCGGCUCAACCGGGGAGGGUCAUUGGAAACUGGUUGACUUGAGUGCAGAAGAGGAGAGUGGAAUUCCAUGUGUAGCGGUGAAAUGCGUAGAUAUAUGGAGGAACACCAGUGGCUAAGGCGACUCUCUGGUCUGUAACUGACGCUGAGGUUCGAAAGCGUGGGUAGCAAACAGG